GACGAACGCUGGCGGCGUGCCUAACGCAUGCAAGUCGAACGGAAAGGCCCUGCUUUUGUGGGGUGCUCGAGUGGCGAACGGGUGAGUAACACGUGAGUAACCUGCCCUUGACUUUGGGAUAACUUCAGGAAACUGGGGCUAAUACCGGAUAGGAGCUCCUGCUGCAUGGUGGGGGUUGGAAAGUUUCGGCGGUUGGGGAUGGACUCGCGGCUUAUCAGCUUGUUGGUGGGGUAGUGGCUUACCAAGGCUUUGACGGGUAGCCGGCCUGAGAGGGUGACCGGCCACAUUGGGACUGAGAUACGGCCCAGACUCCUACGGGAGGCAGCAGUGGGGAAUAUUGCACAAUGGGCGGAAGCCUGAUGCAGCAACGCCGCGUGCGGGAUGACGGCCUUCGGGUUGUAAACCGCUUUCGCCUGUGACGAAGCGUGAGUGACGGUAAUGGGUAAAGAAGCACCGGCUAACUACGUG
rnacentral:rRNA from 1 species